UACGUAGGUGACAAGCGUUGUCCGGAUUUACUGGGCGUAAAGAGCGCGCAGGCGGUCGAUCAAGUCGAGUGUGAAAGCCCCCGGCUCAACUGGGGAGGGUCAUUCGAUACUGAUCGACUCGAAGGCAGGAGAGGGUAGUGGAAUUCCCGGUGUAGUGGUGAAAUGCGUAGAGAUCGUAAGGAAGACCAGUGGCGAAGGCGGGUCUCUGGACAGUUCCUGACACUGAGGCACGAAGGCCAGGGGAGCAAACGGG
rnacentral:rRNA from 1 species